rnacentral:rRNA from 1 species
AGUGAACGCUGGCGGUAGGCCUAACACAUGCAAGUCGAACGAGUGGCGGACGGGUGGGGAAUACAUCGGAAUCUGCGCUAUCGUGGGGGAUAACGUAGAGAAACUUAGGCUACUACCGCAUACGAUUGCAUGAGCCGCUGUCGGAUUAGCUAGUUGGCGGGGUAAAGGCCCACCACGGCGACGAUCCGUAGCUGGGCUGAGAGGAUGAUCAGCCACACUGGAACUGAGACACGGUCCAGACUCCUACGGGAGGCAGCAGUGGGGAAUAUUGGACAAUGGGCGCAAGCCUGAUCCAGCCAGACCGCGUGGGUGAAGAAGGCCUUCGGGUUGUAAAGCCCUUUUGUUGGGAAAGCGGUACCCAAAGAAUAAGCACCGGCUAACUUCGUGCCAGCAGCCGCGGUAAUUC